AUUGAACGCUGGCGGCAUGCCUUACACAUGCAAGUCGAACGGCAGCAUGGAAGAGCUUGCUCUUAUGAUGGCGAGUGGCGAACGGGUGAGUAAAGCAUCGGAACGUACCGUGUAAUGGGGGAGAACGUAGCGAAAGUUACGCUAAUACCGCAUACGACAUGCGGGUGAAAGCAGGGGAUCGCAAGACCUUGCGUUAUACGAGCGGCCGAUGUCAGAUUAGCGAGUUGGUGAGGUAAAGGCUCACCAAGGCGACGGUCUGUAGCGGGUCGGAGAGGAUGAGCCGCCAAACUGGGACUGGGGCACGGCCCAGACUCCUACGGGAGGCAGCAGUGGGGAAUUUUGGACAAUAGGGGCAACCCUGAUCCAGCCAUGCCGCGUGAGUGAAGAAGGCCUUCGGGUUGUAAAGCUCUUUCGGCCGGGAAGAAAUCGCACAGGCUAAUACUCUGUGUGGAUGACGGUACCGGCAUAAGGAGCACCGACUAACUACGUGCCAGCAGCCGCCGUAA
rnacentral:rRNA from 1 species